GACGCCCGAGUGCAACCGAAUGUUGCACGC
rnacentral:sRNA from 1 species